UCGCCUGUUUACCAAAAACAUAGCUAUAUGUACUAAUAUAUAGUUAUUUCUGCUCCAUGAUUAUUAAAUAGCCGCAGUACUCUGACUGUGCAAAGGUAGCAUAAUCAGUUGGCUUUUAAUUGGAGUCUGGUAUGAACGAACACAUGGGUGCGACUGUCUAAAUAUAUUUUUCCUAACUUUUUAAUCAAGUGAAAAUACUUGUGCUAAUAAAAAAGACGAGAAGACCCUAGAAACUUGAAAAGUUUUUUGUUGGGGCGACAGAGUUACAUGUAACUAAUUUUAUUAAACAUGACAUUAAUUAGAAAGGAUAAGUUACUCUAGGGAUAACAGCAUAAUUUUAAUAGUUUGUGACCUCGAUGUUGGAUUAGGUACUAUACCCUUUAGGCAAGGGUAUAAGAUGCUCUGUUCGAGCAAAUACACCUACGUGAUCUGAGUUCAGACCGGACGC
rnacentral:rRNA from 1 species